rnacentral:rRNA from 1 species
UACGGGGGGAGCAAGCGUUGUUCGGAUUUACUGGGCGUAAAGGGCGCGUAGGCGGUCAGCACAAGUCAGUUGUGAAAUCUCCGGGCUUAACUCGGAACGGUCAACUGAUACUGUGCGACUAGAGUGCAGAAGGGGCAACUGGAAUUCUCGGUGUAGCGGUGAAAUGCGUAGAUAUCGGAAGGAACAUCAGUGGCGAAAGCGACUUCCUGGACCAGUACCGACGUUCAGGCACGAAAGCGUGGGGAGCAAACAGG